UACGUAGGGUGCAAGCGUUGUCCGGAAUUAUUGGGCGUAAAGAGCUCGUAGGCGGCUUGUCGCGUCUGCUGUGAAAACCCGAGGCUCAACCUCGGGCCUGCAGUGGGUACGGGCAAGCUAGAGUGCGGUAGGGGAGAUUGGAAUUCCUGGUGUAGCGGUGGAAUGCGCAGAUAUCAGGAGGAACACCGAUGGCGGAGGCAGAUCUCUGGGCCGUAACUGACGCUGAGGAGCGAAAGCAUGGGGAGCGAACAGG
rnacentral:rRNA from 1 species